UUGCACUAUCUACUUAUACUCUCUGAGGCCGCUCAACAAAAGCUGUGAAAAAACUGCAGGAUGGAUCAAUUCUUUGGAAUGAACCUGCUUCUUGCUGUUGCCGUCCCUUUAGCUGUGAUUAUCAUGCUGCCCAGCGAAGCUGCAGCUCUCGGUGGCGCCGUCGGCGGCAUUAACUCCAUUGGCAUCCGAAAGAAAUAAACGACUGCUGGAAAUGACUAGAUCGCUGACCAU